UCUUUGCAAAUAAUGCAGCUAAGCCUCGUGUUCUUAGAUGGCACGGAUAAAUGUAACAGAUCAGGCAGCCAUUCAGACCGCAACGUACGUUAAUACCCCAGCGUCUGCAAAAAGUUGUCCGGUUAUUUCUCGCAUCAAGGCCAGCAGACAAACGGCUCGCAGGAGCAGAUAACGCAACUGGAUCUGCAGCAGAAGAAUUUUUGGAUGCCUGAUUGCAGCUGACAGGAACUUCCUGCAGAAGGAACCUUACAUCAUGCCACAAAAACAUAAUGCAUAUGGAAAGCACGGGGAAGACAACUGAUGCACGGCAAGAGAGACAUCAAAUUACCACUUAAGUGUUGCCCAUGCAGACACAUCAGAAGGUACUGUUGAACCACAGUCAGUUCUCAAUGUCUUGUUCUCCUGAACUUUCAGAGCUAUAACAAUUUACAUUAUAUCUAAAUUAAUCUCUAGUGCUCAGACAUGUUUUUAAGAUGCUGCGGUAAUUUCCAUUAUUUUGUAUUCAUUCUAAAGCUCUGUGCACACAGACGGGAGGAAAACAACCUACAUUUCACAAAACAAGUCAGCCGUGCUGCUGUGUGAAUGAUCUGUGCAGAUCAUGCCAAAUAAAAGUACUUAAACCUAGAGCGAGUUGGGUGAGCCUGUCCCCAGCGACCUGUGCCCAGACUGGGUGGGACCCAGAGCACAUCCUCUCCACUUCAAGCCUCUGAAGUCAGUACAAGUCAAGUUAUAGAUUGCGCAUUUGCAAGAGGCUGAAGCGACGCUUUACAGCCGCGGAGGGGACAAUGCUCUCGUUCUGAAGGUGAGAACAGCUCUCCAACUCGUUAUGCAAAUGCCAGACUUGAAAAACAAUCCAGAGGCUUGGGCUUUGUUGCGCGUGUUUCCAGUGCCACCUGCUGUACAGAAGAGGAAGAUUCAGAAGCUCCAAGGAACGAAGCCGGAAAAUUCUUCCCCGCCCACCUGGGAACGCAGCAACUACCGAAAUUAAACACUGAGACAUUUACAUCUUCAGUAGUUCAACAGCACACUGAGUUGUGUGUUAAAGACACCCACAUAUGCCAAACACUUCUAAUUUUACAAAGAAAGUACAUCAGCUUCACUUCGAGUUUUCCAUAAAUUCAUACAGCUUGUGGGAUGACAUUUAAUGGAUGAGAAAAACAUGCAUUGUUACCAAA